UACGGGGGGGGCAAGCGUUGUUCGGAAUUACUGGGCGUAAAGGGCGCGUAGGCGGCCACCGCAAGUCGACUGUGAAAUCUCCGGGCUUAACUCGGAAAGGUCAGCCGAUACUGCGGGGCUAGAGUGCAGAAGGGGCAACUGGAAUUCCUGGUGUAGCGGUGAAAUGCGCAGAUAUCAGGAGGAACACCGGUGGCGAAGGCGGGUCUCUGGGCAACAACUGACGCUGAGGAGCGAAAGCGUGGGGAGCGAACAGG
rnacentral:rRNA from 1 species